AGCUGCGCAGCAGUAUGAUAUAGUCAAUGCAUUCGAAAAAAUACAGCAAUUUACAAUAAAUCGCCAUAUAACGACGAUACUAACACUUUAACCUCUUCAAGUAAUCUUGAAAAGUAUAAUCAGUGUAAAAAAUAUUAACAAAUUAACAACAAUUAACCGUUAUAUAUAAAUUCAACCCGUACUUUUUAAAAUUCGCAAAAUGGAGAAAACGCAUAUGUGGAGUGUACAUAUAUUUUAGGUGAAAUAUUUAUUCUUUCUUAAUUUAUACAAGACUCUAUAAGUGUUGGGCCUGGAUCUGUAUUUAUGUGAAUGUCGCUGCACCACAUCUGCAAAGAAUAAAGAGUCCAACACACUAACAAUCAAACAAACAAGAAGAAGGCGACAUCGACGAUUAACGACAAUCAAGACUACAAAAAAUGCGAUCAGUCAGUAAAACUCCAAAGAAAGACUCAUUCUACAUACGGCGACGUCGACCAGAUUGUGAAAACAAACAAAACAACAACGAUAUUCACAAAAAUAAAAUAAAAAAAAAUAAAUAAAAAGUUAAACGAAGAAAACAUGAAAUUUAAUAAAAAGUGAAAAAACUCAAAUUCGGACGAAGAAUGAAAACAACACACAUGAAAUUUGCGAGAAUUUUGCAGCACAGACUAUAAAAGCUAAAAAUCAUUUUAAACUCGAGUUUAUUAAAACGAGUGCUGUGCGAGUGUCAAGAUCAAUCGGUCGAUGUUAACGGACAUAACGAUCAAAAUACAUAAAUCGAAGUAUGUACUUAAAAAAACAUACAUAUGUACAUACCAAAUAUACAUACAUCCAUACAUACAUACAUAUAUGUACGAAAAUGUAUAUACAUUGCUGCAUCAUGAUAAUGGAACAAAAGUGAAAUUAUUUUAAAAGGAGGCAACGCCCUGUUUUUGUCUUGCUUAUUUUUUUCUGAUCAAUUACAAAAAAAAAAUCAAAAUAACAAGAAUAAUAAAGUGAAAAUCCAUUAAUUACAGUAGAAAUUAAACAAAAUACCGAUUUGAGAACAUUUUGCACACAAGUGAACUAUUUAAUUUAAAUGAUCUAACUUAUUAUCACAGGUGGAUUAGAAAGCAGCAGCACUAUUAAAAAAAUACAACAUGAACAACAGCACACUCAAUAUUCGCACGUUCAAAAGUAGCAAUAGAAAACAAACAAAAAAUCACAUACAAGUAAAAUAAAAAAUAAAACUAGCAACAACAAACCGAAAAGAAACUAAGAAAUAAAAAUAGAGAAAUAAACAAAAAA